GAUGAACGCUGGCGGCGUGCCUAAUACAUGCAAGUCGAGCGAAUGGAUUAAGAGCUUGCUCUUAUGAAGUUAGCGGCGGACGGGUGAGUAACACGUGGGUAACCUGCCCAUAAGACUGGGAUAACUCCGGGAAACCGGGGCUAAUACCGGAUAACAUUUUGAACCGCAUGGUUCGAAAUUGAAAGGCGGCUUCGGCUGUCACUUAUGGAUGGACCCGCGUCGCAUUAGCUAGUUGGUGAGGUAACGGCUCACCAAGGCAACGAAGCGUAGCCGACCGCAGAGGGUGAGCGGCCACACAGGCACUGCGGCACGGCCCAGACUCCUACGGGAGGUAGCAGUAGGGAAUCUUCCGCAAUGGGCGAAAGUCUGACGGAGCAACGCCGCGUGAGUGAUGAAGGCUUUCGGGUCGUAAAACUCUGUUGUUAGGGAAGAACAAGUGCUAGUUGAAUAAGCUGGCACCUUGACGGUACCUAACCAGAAAGCCACGGCUAACUACGUGCCAGCCGCCGCGGUAA
rnacentral:rRNA from 1 species